AAACUUUUCAUAACAUAGGAAGCGACCUCAUUCUGAGCCAGUCCAUUGGUCCAUCCAGUUCAGGGGUCAGCAAACUUAUUCCACAGGGGGCUGGUCCACUGUCCCUCAGACCUUGUGGGGGGGAAGACUAUAUUUUGUGGAGGGAAAUCCCUCCCACUGACUUUCCCCUCCCUUCUCCACAGCACCGGACGAGUCCCGGUGGCUGCUUACCUGUGCCUUGCGAGUGGCAGGGGCUGGCAGCGGCGGCGAAGGGGGACGAUGAGUGGCGUGAAAGGGCUGGCUCCGGAGAGGGGCUGCUUAAAAUGGCGCUCAGCCAACUGCAGCUCAACAAAGCCCAGCCCCCUUCCUCCUCUAGGCAGGGUGGGAAGAAGCCAGGAGGAGGGAGGGAGGAGGCGCGGAGGCGGUGGCGGUGUGUGUGUGUGUGUGUGUAUGGGGAAUGAUGCAGCCCAAACAAUCAGAAUCCCCAUGCCAAUCUAUGUGGUGAUUCCUGGACCGUCUGCAGACCAGAUCCAGAAGGCAAUUGGGCCGGAUUUGGCCCCCAGGCCUUAGUCUGCUGACCCAUGAUCCAGUUCAACAUCAUCCACACUGACCAGAUAUCAGCUCUUCAGAGAUUUGGGCAGGGGAAUCUCUCCCAACCUUACCUAGAAAUGUUAGGGUUGGAACCUGAGACCUCCUGCCUCCACAGGCCCUUCCAGAACUAAAAUGUAGACCUGGUGUUCUUUUGUUUUCACCUACCAGGUAUUCCCAAGGUGAAGCUUACUGAAAGAUGACUUUAAGAAGCAGUGGAGAAGAGCAUCUCUGUGUACUUAUUCUUGCUCCCUUGUGGGACAUCAGGCCAGUUGGGAGGUUUUAAAAGACAAAGGCAUAAGAAUUUAAAUGGGGAGACACACACCUGAGAUUAUUUGACAGGCAAAUGGGAG